rnacentral:rRNA from 1 species
AGCAGUAGCCGCGGUAAUACGGAGGGAGCUAGCGUUGUUCGGAAUUACUGGGCGUAAAGCGCACGUAGGCGGCUUUGUAAGUUAGAGGUGAAAGCCUGGGGCUCAACUCCAGAAUUGCCUUUGAGACUGCAUCGCUUGAACACGGGAGAGGUGAGUGGAAUUCCGAGUGUAGAGGUGAAAUUCGUAGAUAUUCGGAAGAACACCAGUGGCGAAGGCGGCUCACUGGACCGUUGUUGACGCUGAGGUGCGAAAGCGUGGGGAGCAAACAGGAUUAGAUACCCCAGUAGUCCCUGUCUCUUAUAC